GUUUCCAACAACUGAGCUCCCAGAGUGAGCAAUUCCUGUCCCUUUUAAGGGCUCACACCUCUAAGGGGGUCCGCGUGAGAGGAUCGUGGUUGAUUGAGCAAGCAGGGGUUGUUUGUAGUAAGAGAACUCCCAUUUUCAUCAGUGGAACUGGACAACUACACUGGUCCAAUUCAGGCAAAUGGAUAGAGUUCACAGCACCAAACCAGCAGCCACAGGAAAUUAAUAUAACUGCGAAGGAAAAGAUUUCCCCUGCUCGAGUCUCCCUGCACUCCUACCCAUCUGAGAGAAACAGAACUGUUGAGUAGCUGAUGCAAUUUCAUCCAUAAUAUUGUGGAUUCACCAUUGAUUCAGCAUCUGAUCCUCAGCACUGUAUAUCUAAGAACUCAUUCUCCUUGGUUCAUCAGGCAUGAUCAGAUUAAGGAUUCAUACACACUGACCUAACUCACAGGAGAGAGUUAUAAAUCAGAACACCAAUUUAUUGCCUUGUUCAUGGAAAUAGAAACACUACAUGUGUCAGCUUACUCAGAUCAGCAGCUAAACACUGUUCAGUGUUGAUUGGGAAAUAUAAAGCCAGAAUGAAGGCAGCUGGUUCAUCUUGAUAGCAAAUGUUACCAAAUCUCAUAGUCUGGUGCCCUAAUCUCCAUGGGAUUAGAACAUGUACAUCGACCAGAGAGGUUCUCUUUCUCCUGACUAUGCUGGGACAUUCUGGCAAAUUCUGACUCAUCACUCCCUUUCUAGAAUCCUUAAAGACCAUCAUCACGCUAUUUCAAGAAUAUUCCUUCAGAUGUGUUACAAAGAUUAAAUGUUGAUUUAUGGUAUCUCUAAAGAUUUGGAUUGUAGUCUCAUCAGAAAUAUUUAUUUAUAAGCCAUCUCUUCAUUCACUCGUUGAUUCAUCCAGAAAUGCUAUUCAGUAUUUAUUAAGUGCCAGGCGUUGUGCUAAGAUUUGAGACACAGAGAUAAGAUAAAGGUCCCAUUCUCCAAGACUCUUGUUUUUUUAGUGGAUUAAAAGCUGCUAAUGUAUUCCUUCUGUAGAUAUACAUAAUUUCACCAAUUUCUUGUGACUUCAUGAACCUUAUUUUUGCAAGACAACAUGUCCUAAUUCUUGUCAAAUUUAGGGAUGGUGGUAUUGGGGAGCUACAAACCAGUCAAAUCAAUUCAAUGAAAAAUCCUAUUAUUUGAACAAUUUUAAUCACAUCUGAUUUUGACUAUUUUAUCUAAGUGUUAACAUUUCACUAGUUGAGUGUUACAAUGAGCCUAGCAUUUAAACAGUCUUAGUUAUGUUAACAUUCUUAAAAACAGAGAAGUGGCAGCCAGGCACGGUGGCUCAUGCCUGUAAUCCCAGCACUUUGGGAGGCCGAGGCGGGCGGACGCCUGAGGUCAGGAGUUCAAGACCAGCCUGACCAACACGGAGAAACCUCGUCUCUACUAAAAAUACAAAAUUA
rnacentral:lncRNA from 10 species